UGCACAGCAACUCAUAUCUCUAUCUCCUCGUGAUAUUGCCCGGGGUACGGGAAGAUCGGGUAACCAACCCCGGUGGGAGCUUUGGUCGUAUGCUGACAAGGGAG
rnacentral:ribozyme from 1 species